GUGUCAAUUAGGCUACUCCAUGACCAAGGAAUGCGCCUCUAAAUAAACUUUCAUCAAAAGUUCGUGUUGCCUACAUGAUUAUGAGACAAAAGUGUCAGAAGAGCUUGACGUGUGAUGUGUGAAGAAAACAAGUAAAAUCCAGAACUUGCGUGUGAGAGAAAGAAGCCUUACCGACUAUGAGCACAGGAGGUUCAUCUGUUUGGUUUUUGACUUUGCAUUCAAAACCGAAACUACCCACUGUAAUCUCCAGGAGUCGGUGUUGGGAAUUUACAAACUGACCUGUCCUGGGCAGGUAUGAUUGUUGCAAGAUCAUCUGAGCAAAUUACCAAAAGAACACGCAUUUGGAUGUUCAUUUUAAAAGGAUUUGUUUUCUCCGUCAUCCGUUUUCAAUACAGUGACACUCUUCAUGCAUUUCACAACACUUUCAACAACAGUUUCUGCACAAUAUCAAGAGGCCAUUUGAAAAGUGAGACAGUCAGUGGGAAGAACAUUUUGACCAGCAGAUGACGCUAAUUACUUUUCAGAGGUUUGGAGUUAGUCCACUAAACCCAAAAUCACAUUUGUCUGUUUGGAAACCUGUUUUCUCUUAGAGUUAUGUUUUAAGCAACUUCUUACUUCUGAUUUAGACCUCUCACCUUCUGACCUUUGAAUCAAAUGUUCAUAACAAAAUCAUGUAUUGGUAAACAUUGUUCUCCAAAAAUUGUUCCAAAGAGAAUGCCCAGAUGUUACAAAUAGAUUCAAUGUGAACUGAUGGUGUGCGAUAAACACGGAAAUGAGCUGAUUCCAUCUGCUUUAGGCUGCGAUAGCUGAGCCCACCCACAGAUACAAUACUGCUUUACGUGUAAGUAUAUUUGCUGGGAUGAAUGUAAAACAUUUAUAAGGUUUUCUAUAAAGCCCUGAAUUUUAUUGCUGUAUACUGAAUUAUGUCACAUUACAGAAUUAAAAUGAGUUGUGGAUGCUGUUAUAUGUUUAAAACGAAUGUAUAAAAGGAAACAAUCACGUCAGUCUUGAUUUUUUUUAUUGUUUUUUAGCUGGCUCAGUGGUGGUGACAUUACAUUCACAUAUUCAAUGCCAAAGUAUGGAAGUACAUUAGGUAAUUAGAUCUAUCAUUUGCUCAUCUGGACGCUGACAGAGACUUGGAAAAACUUUUGUAAAAUCAAAGCCAUGGAGCUGCAAGAGGGAAAGUCAACUGAGUGAGUGCCGAACAUUGCUGUCAGGGGAUUUGGGAAACCUUUGAAUCAUCUGAAAUGAAGAGAUGCUGUAAAUGUGGGUUCGACAGGGUCUGGACAAGCUCUGAUUUACCUCUAAUGCUCCUCCAUCCCUCAUUAUUUGUAUGAAACUGAAAAUUGUGCCAGUUGGGUUGUGCAAAAGCAUACAACCCGAACCAAAACAUAACCAUCAAGGCCAAUGAUUGUAAUAGCAAAAUAUGUAAAGUAGUAUGUUUUCACCAUCUCGUACAAAUACUAUGAAUUACCAGGAUCAUGUUUUGGCUCCCCUAAAUUGUGAGAUUUUGGAUUUGAUAAUUACAUUUACUGCAAAAUAUUUUAUAUAUAUAUAUAUAUAUAUAUAUAUAUAUAUAUACAUUUUCUUAUUCAGUGGCCUAUUUUAGUCUUUUAAGAUUUGGUUAAGAGAAUAUUUUGAAUUCAGUUUAUUUUUCUUACCUCAUUGGCAUUUGUCAAUAGUAAGAUAAUGCUUAAAGAAACAAGACCCUAUUUCCUAAUGGUUUAUGGAAAAAGAAAAAUUCAAAAUCUUAAUAUCCUAUGCAGUCUUGCCUCUCAAGCACAUUUUUGUCGUUAUAGAACAUUAUUUUAUUAUGAAAAUGUUAAACCUACUCUUUUCCAUACAAUAAAAAUACAUGGUGAUCUCUGGGCAUCAAGUUGAUUGUGAUUUUGCCUUUUUUAUUUUAUUCUUUGAGAGAAAUCACGUUUUGAACCGUGUUCCUUAAACACUAAACACUACACUAAACAUUAUCAUGUCUCACAUCUAUCUUGAUGCGAUUCACGAAUGGCUCAUGUUUUAUAAGCUUGGU